rnacentral:rRNA from 1 species
GGGGGGAGCAAGCGUUGUUCGGAUUUACUGGGCGUAAAGGGCGCGUAGGCGGCCACUGCAAGUCGACUGUGAAAUCUCCGGGCUUAACCCGGAAAGGUCAGCCGAUACUGCAGGGCUAGAGUGCAGAAGGGGCAACUGGAAUUCUCGGUGUAGCGGUGAAAUGCGUAGAUAUCGAGAGGAACACCUGCGGCGAAGGCGGGUUGCUGGGCUGACACUGACGCUGAGGCGCGAAAGCUAGGGGAGCGAACGGGAUUAGAUACCCCGGUAGUCCUAGCCUUAAACGAUGAAUGCUUGGUGUCUGGGGUUUUAUAGUCCCCGGGUGCCGUCGCUAACGCUUUAAGCAUUCCGCCUGGGGAGUACGGUCGCAAGACUGAA